AGAGCAUGCAGCAGCUUCCUACAAAACUGACACCGACACAAAGGCAAAAAGACACAUUGUGACCGCAGUGGCACCUGUUACCUUAACGCAUCGCGCGUCUCCUCUUCUUUUUUCACCAAAUUCAAGCACCAUGAUAUUUGGAUCAUUAUUCCCUGGUCUUUGCCUUUGCAAUUCUAAUGCUGGCUACAGAGAGUACAGACAGACGUGCGACCUCCAUGACACAUCGUGUACCAGCUUCUGCUUUUCACUUGCAGGCCACCGGCACAUGCGCUGACAUCACACCGAGGGAAAUCAGGGAAGAUCAUGUUCCCAAGGUUUUUACUCUCGAUGAUGUGGCAUGGCCCCAAAUGACCAGACAGAAGUUCCGUGUUGACUGUUUUCACGCCAAUCCCCACAAUUAACAGCUGUCAGAUGGUCCGUUACCAAACAUCCCUGACAGAUGGGUUAUUCUGGAAAUUGCCUCUGAGGAAUUUUAUCAGCCAAUGACAUAACCAAAUUAAAACAUGUCAUAAAAAGGCGUAAUGCCACCUCAUAUUUAAUGUCUUUGUUAAAUAACAAUAUAAAAACUUUCUCACUCAUCUUCUGACAUUUAAUUUGCAUUCAGCAAUUCUCUGCAAACAGUUUGCUGUAGGAAUGGCAAAGGUUUGAUAAGACCAACUUGUUUGUAAGAAAUCCAGCCUUUGGUAGAUGAUAAAUAUUUGUCUUUUUAUUUCAGUCAGCUCCAGUGAUAAUGCAAACUCUUCUGAUGUGAAAUAAACAAAUUAAGAAAAAUGCUUUCAAAUAAUCAUGCUGUGAUUAUCUAGCCUCUGAUGCUUACAUCUAAUUCUGUUUUUUUUAUUAUCAUGCAGUGGAUUGCAUUUUGUAAGCAUGCUUUAUGGUCUUGAAA